rnacentral:rRNA from 1 species
UCUCCUGGGAAAAAGGGUGGUAAUGCCGGAUGCUCCAGUUGAUCGCAUGGUCUUCUGGGAAAGCUUUCGCGGUAUGGGAUGGGGUCGCGUCCUAUCAGCUUGACGGCGGGGUAACGGCCCACCGUGGCUUCGACGGGUAGCCGGCCUGAGAGGGCGACCGGCCACAUUGGGACUGAGAUACGGCCCAGACUCCUACGGGAGGCAGCAGUGGGGAAUAUUGCACAAUGGGCGCAAGCCUGAUGCAGCGACGCCGCGUGAGGGAUGGAGGCCUUCGGGUUGUAAACCUCUUUUAUCGGGGAGCAAGCGAGAGUGAGUUUACCCGUUGAAUAAGCACCGGCUAACUACGUGCCAGCAGCCGCGGUAAUACGUAGGGUGCAAGCGUUAUCCGGAAUUAUUGGGCGUAAAGGGCUCGUAGGCGGUUCGUCGCGUCCGGUGUGAAAGUCCAUCGCUUAACGGUGGAUCCGCGCCGGGUACGGGCGGGCUUGAGUGCGGUAGGGGAGACUGGAAUUCCCGGUGUAACGGUGGAAUGUGUAGAUAUCGGAAAAGAACACCA